AUCCCCGGGAAGCAACCCAGCCUCAGUGUUAUAUUGCAAGUCGAGGGGGAGGGUUGUGUGCAAAUCCGCUCCGAUGCGAAUCUAUUUGACCUGUGUCCGUGACCUUGCAUGGUGUCCGUGGCGAUAAAUAGGUGUGUUCUAGUGACCUUAAGGUGCGGAGAGGCGCGAAAGGCGUUAUGGAUACGGAAUUAAGGAAAUACUGGGGACAAAACACCAGACACAUAGGAGGAGUGUGUGUGCUUGGAGGACCUGAGCCACCUCCACCCCACCCCUGGGGCUUCCUGCCCCAGGAGGAGGAGGAGGAGGAGGAGGAGGAGGAGGAGGAGGAGACGCGGGUGCCCCCCGGGGGACGUGACAGCGGUGACGACGAGCCCCCCGUCCUGCACCCCCUGGCCCCCAAGCCCCACCCCACCUACCACCAGCCACACCAGUCCCCACAGCAGCCUCCGUCACCCGCCCCACACCAGGAGCACCUGCCCCAGGACUGCCUGCCCCGCCCCCACAAGACACCGCCCCCAGCCUCCCCUGUCCAGAAGGAGCGCGCCCCUCACAGGUCCCGCUCCCGCUCCCACUCCUGCUGCAGCACUGUGGCACUCAACAUAGCCACAGCAGGAGAGGCAGGGGAGAGCUCACACACACACACACACACACACACACACACACACACACACACACACACACACACACACACACACACACACACACACACACACACACACACAUUACUUAUAUAACUGUCACUAAUUACACACAAGUAAUUCUUUCACAGGCCAAUUAUCAACCCCCAAACUAACCCCCCUCCUCCCAACAGUUCCAUUACCCUUAUGAUGCAGCCAAGGGGACUGACGCCACCACCACCACCACCACCACCACCACCACCACCACCACCACCACCACCACCGCCACAACAAGGGUUAUUCAAGUGGGGAACAUGCUUCAGGUGUUGCCCCAAGAUGCCUCAGCCCCGCAGCCCCACUCCGCCAUGAUAGUGCAGGCAGGGAAUGUCAUACAGGUUGUUCCAGCUGACAACAUGCAGGUGUUAGGGGCAGAAGUUGUUGGAGUUGGUGGGAUCAUGCAAGUGGUCGGGGUCCCAGGCUCUCCCAAACCAGCUCCCCAUCUGUGCCUAUGCAGUGUCUGGCCAGCCACUUGUGUGUUUUGGGGACUCAGACCAGCAGAUUCCCACUGUUUAUCCACUGUUUGUCUUGAUGCAGUGUCUGGCCAGCCACUUGUGUGUUUUGGGGACUCAGACCAGCAGAUUCCCACUGUUUAUCCACUGUUUGUGUUGAUGCAGUGUCUGGCCAGCCACUUGUGUGUUUUGGGGACUCAGACCAAUAGAUUCCCACUGUUUAUCCACUGUUUGUGUUGAUGCAGUGUCUGGCCAGCCACUUGUGUGUUUUGGGGACUCAGACCAGCAGAUUCCCACUGUUUAUCCACUGUUUGUGUUGAUGCAGUGUCUGGCCAGCCACUAGUGUGUUUUGGGGACUCAGACCAGCAGAUUCCCACUGUUUAUCCACUGUUUGUGUUGAUGCAGUGUUUGGCCAGCCACUUGUGUGAGGCCACGUCAGAGGUGCCUGUGGUGGGGUCGCCAGUUCCGGAGUACGAGGUGGAGGAGGAAGAGGAAGAGGAGGACGAGGAGGAGGCACGGAUGAGGAAGAAGAAAAGAUCAUUAGCUGUAGCUCUCCCUCCAGCUGAUAAGGGGAUAUUAAUGAGGCCUUCCUACAGGUACUCUCCCAGCCGUGUCACAGCUGAUGAUGAUGAUGCCACCCCCCCCCCAGCCUGAGCCACCCUCCACCCACCCCAGCCCUCACCAAGCCUCCUCCAGUAACCACCACCACCACCACCACCACCAGCGACGUAACACCCCACCCCACCCCUCCCCAGACCACAGAUCCCAGACUGUUGGAUGUGACGCCACAAGACACAGGGCUUCGUAACACCAGUGCACGGUGAUCAAGACAACACUGGACCAGAAAGACGCAAAGUACAGGGAACAACACAGUGCUUCUUCAUUUUAGGUGAGCCAGAAUGAGCUUGUUAAACUGAGCGGCCUCUUCAAGUACCACUGGAACUGUUCGUCAGAGGAGGAGGAGGAGGAGGUAAGGGAGUGCGCCAAGACCCUUUACAGCGGUGCAAAGGAGUGGAGGGAGAUGAGGAGAAAUUUGAAAGAGAACAGAAGUAGAAUGACAUCAGAUAGCAGGAGUCCUUAGGAUUUAGCACAAUAAGAUCAAUAAUUCUCUUACAUGAGUGACCUAAAGUAAGGCAGUUUAGUCUGGCCUAACUUAACUGACCUACCUAUUUCUGUUAUGAGCUAAGAUAGGCUAUGUUAGGUUAUAUUAAAUUAUAUAAUUAUUAUUUUUUUUCAUCAUUAUUAUUAAAGAAAGGAAAUAGAACCGAGAAAAUAAAGUUAAAAAUUAUUGUUA